GACAGAGGUGGCGAGCGUUGUUCGGUGUCACUGGGCUUAGAGCGUGUGUAGGCGGCAAAGUAAGCGCUUUGUGAAAGCCCCCGGCUCAACCGGGGAAUUGCUUGGCGAACUGCUUUGCUUGAGGCAAGACGGGGUGCGAGGAACUCUUGGUGGAGCGGUGGAAUGCGUAGAUAUCAAGAGGAACGCCGGUGGUGAAGACGUCGCACUAUACUUGUCCUGACGCUGAGACACGAAAGCGUGGGGAGCAAACGGG
rnacentral:rRNA from 1 species